CCUCCCCCACGCUAUUAACUAACUGUUGAGCAUCACUGCAAAUACAUAUUAUGGAGAAAGACAACAUUUCUCUUAUGAGAUCUCCCUUGCCACUUGCUUCCUGAUUUAUUCUUUCUUGGAUGCUGCUUUCACUGCAGGAAAAAGAUGUUUCAUAUUCACCAGGGAUAAAGUUGCCAAGCCUAACUAGAGUCUUUUACUUGACCUGUGAGAUUCUUUUUAAUUUAGGCUGAGUUCCUGACUUUUGUA
rnacentral:lncRNA from 1 species